UACGUAGGGUGCAAGCGUUGUCCGGAUUCACUGGGCGUAAAGGGUGCGUAGGCGGCGCGGUAAGUCGGGUGUGAAAUCUCGGGGCUUAACUCCGAAACUGCAUUCGAUACUGCCGUGCUUGAGGACUGGAGAGGAGACUGGAAUUUACGGUGUAGCGGUGAAAUGCGUAGAUAUCGUAAGGAAGACCAGUGGCGAAGGCGGGUCUCUGGACAGUUCCUGACGCUGAGGCACGAAGGUCAGGGGAGCAAACGGG
rnacentral:rRNA from 1 species